rnacentral:rRNA from 1 species
UACGUAGGGUGCUAGCGUUGUUCGGAAUUACUUGGCGUAAAGGGCUCGUCGGCGGCCAACUAAGUCAUGCGUGAAAUCCCUCGGCUUAACCGGGGAACUGCGUCUGAUACUGGAUGGCUUGAGUGUGGGAGAGGGAUGCGGAAUUCCAGGUGUAGCGGUGAAAUGCGUAGAUAUCUGGAGGAACACCGGUGGCGAAGGCAGUGUCCUGGGUGGUCGCUGACGCUGAGAGGCGAAAGCCAGGGGAGCGAACGGG